CCCAUCCCAGGAUUGCACCUGGAGAGUUUCCAGCACUCUACCAGUCUUGGCUACAGGAGGAAGAGUCAAGCAGAGGCUUACCCAUUCCAUUCCUAUCUUGGGCAGUGGCUAGUGAGUGGAAGGCAAUCUGUCAAAAAC
rnacentral:snoRNA from 1 species